rnacentral:rRNA from 1 species
AGAGUUUGAUCCUGGCUCAGGAUAAACGCUGGCGGCGUGCCUAACACAUGCAAGUCGAACGCGCUCGGGGAAACCCGAGCGAGUGGCGGACGGGUGAGGAACACGUGGGUCAUCUACCUUGAGGUGAGGAAUACCGGCGAGAAAUCGCCGACAAUACCGCAUAGGUUUGGAAACAAACAAAGUCGCAAGACGCCCCAAGA